rnacentral:rRNA from 1 species
GACGAACGCUGGCGGCGUGCCUAAUACAUGCAAGUUGAGCGCUGAAGGUUGGUACUUGUACCAACUGGAUGAGCAGCGAACGGGUGAGUAACGCGUGGGGAAUCUGCCUUUGAGCGGGGGACAACAUUUGGAAACGAAUGCUAAUACCGCAUAAGAACUUUAAACACAAGUUUUAAGUUUGAAAGAUGCAAUUGCAUCACUCAAAGAUGAUCCCGCGUUGUAUUAGCUAGUUGGUGAGGUAAAGGCUCACCAAGGCGAUGAUACAUAGCCGACCUGAGAGGGUUAUCGGCCACAUUGGGACUGAGACACGGCCCAAACUCCUACGGGAGGCAGCAGUAGGGAAUCUUCGGCAAUGGACGAAAGUCUGACCGAGCAACGCCGCGUGAGUGAAGAAGGUUUUCGGAUCGUAAAACUCUGUUGGUAGAGAAGAACGUUGGUGAGAGUGGAAAGCUCAUCAAGUGACGGUAACUACACAGAAAGGGACGGCUAACUACGUG